rnacentral:rRNA from 1 species
AUUGAACGCUGGCGGCAGGCCUAACACAUGCAAGUCGAGCGGUAACACAGAGAGCUUGCUCUCGGGUGACGAGCGGCGGACGGGUGAGUAAUGUCUGGGAAGCUGCCUGAUGGAGGGGGAUAACUACUGGAAACGGUAGCUAAUACCGCAUAACGUCGCAAGACCAAAGAGGGGGACCUUCGGGCCUCUUGCCAUCAGAUGUGCCCAGAUGGGAUUAGCUAGUAGGUGGGGUAACGGCUCACCUAGGCGACGAUCCCUAGCUGGUCUGAGAGGAUGACCAGCCACACUGGAACUGAGACACGGUCCAGACUCCUACGGGAGGCAGCAGUGGGGAAUAUUGCACAAUGGGCGCAAGCCUGAUGCAGCCAUGCCGCGUGUAUGAAGAAGGCCUUCGGGUUGUAAAGUACUUUCAGCGGGGAGGAAGGUGCUGAGGUUAAUAACCUCAGCAAUUGACGUUACCCGCAGAAGAAGCACCGGCUGACUCCGUGCCAGCCGCCGCGGUAAUAC